UUCAAGUAGCUGCUUGCAAUUUCUCUUCACGUAUGAUGGGCCCUAUUCAAACGGAUUCAACACAACAAAUAUAUAUGUGCAAAAAGUAAAUAAAUACCAGCUCUAAAAUAAAACUCAGAUUAAUUCAAUUAGAUCUCACAAAUACAUUGCUGGAGUUUUCUAAAUCUAUCAAUUAGGAAAAGAAAAUAAAUCAGCCACUCAUGGUGGACUUUUUAACACAAAUGAGUUUUUAAAGAGUAAAGAAAAGAAGAAAUAUGAAAAAAAAAAAAUUACAGAAGCAGCAAAAGCUGCUAUCUACGGCAUCAAGAAGAAGAGAGGUUCUGAACCUCCUUGGCAUCUGCGAUU
rnacentral:lncRNA from 1 species